rnacentral:rRNA from 1 species
UAGGGAAUAUUAGAAAUGGACGAAAGUCUGAUCUAGCAACACCGCGUGUGCGAAGAAGGCCUUCGGGUCGUAAAGCACUUUUUGGAAGGAAUAGGAAGGAAUGUACUUCCAGAAUAAGUCUCGGCUAACUACGUGCCAGCAGCCGCGGUAACACGUAGGAAGCGAACGUUAUCCGGAUUUACUGGGCGUAAAGCGCGUGUAGGUGGUACUGUAAGUAGGGCGUGAAAGCUCCUGGCUCAACUGGGAGAGGCCGUUCUAAACUACAGAACUAGAGGAUGGUAGAGGGAGGUGGAAUUCCAGGUGUAGCGGUGGAAUGCGCAGAUAUCUGGAGGAACACAGGUGGCGAAGGCGGCCUCCUGGACCAUUCCUGACACUCAGACGCGAAAGCUAGGGUAGCAAACGG